GACGAACGCUGGCGGCGUGCUUAACACAUGCAAGUCGAACGGAAAGGCCCUGCUUUUGUGGGGUGCUCGAGUGGCGAACGGGUGAGUAACACGUGAGUAACCUGCCCUUGACUUUGGGAUAACUUCAGGAAACUGGGGCUAAUACCGGAUAGGAGCUCCUGCUGCAUGGUGGGGGUUGGAAAGUUUCGGCGGUUGGGGAUGGACUCGCGGCUUAUCAGCUUGUUGGUGGGGUAGUGGCUUACCAAGGCUUUGACGGGUAGCCGGCUUGAGAGGGUGACCGGCCACAUUGGGACUGAGAUACGGCCCAGACUCCUACGGGAGGCAGCAGUGGGGAAUAUUGCACAAUGGGCGGAAGCCUGAUGCAGCAACGCCGCGUGCGGGAUGACGGCCUUCGGGUUGUAAACCGCUUUCGCCUGUGACGAAGCGUGAGUGAGGGUAAUGGGUAAAGAAGCACCGGCUAACUACGUG
rnacentral:rRNA from 1 species